rnacentral:rRNA from 1 species
GACGAACGCUGGCGGCGUGCCUAAUACAUGCAAGUCGAACGCAGUGGGGACGGGUGAGUAACACGUGGGUAACCUCCCAUCAGAGGGGGUAACACUUGGAAACAGGUGCUAAACCGAUACGGAUGGCUGGCACCGCGGUGCAUUAGCUAGUUGGUGAGGUAACGGCUCACCAAGGUUACGAGGCAUAGACGACCUGAAAGGGUGAUCGGCCACACUGUGACUGAGACACGGCCCAGCCUCUGCAGCGAGGCAGCAGUAGGGAAUCUUAGGCGAGGGACGAAAGGCUGACCGAGCAACGCCGCGUGAGUGAUGAAGGUUUUAGGAUCGUAAAACUCUGUUGUUAGAGAAGCGGUAUCUAACCAGAAAGCCACGGCUAACUACGUGCCAGCAGCCGCGGUAAUAC